rnacentral:rRNA from 1 species
GACGUAGGGCGCGAGCGUUGUCCGGAUUUAUUGGGCGUAAAGAGCUCGUAGGCGGCUUGUCGCGUCGACCGUGAAAACUCGCAGCUCAACUGCGAGCCUGCGGUCGAUACGGGCAGGCUAGAGUUCGGUAGGGGAGACUGGAAUUCCUGGUGUAGCGGUGAAAUGCGCAGAUAUCAGGAGGGACACCGAUGGCGAAGGCAGGUCUCUGGGCCGAUACUGACGCUGAGGAGCGAAAGCGUGGGGAGCAAACAGG